AAUCAACGCUGGCGGCGUGCCUAACACAUGCAAGUCGAACGCGAAAGGGGCUUCGGCCCUGAGUAGAGUGGCGAACGGGUGAGUAACACGUGGGUGAUCUACCUCUGAGUGGGGGAUAACGUUCCGAAAGGAACGCUAAUACCGCAUGACGUUCUGGGUUUGGAGACCUGGAAACCAAAGCCGGGACCGCAAGGCCUGGUGCUUGGAGAGGAGCCCGCGCCUGAUUAGCUAGUUGGUGAGGUAAUGGCUCACCAAGGCAACGAUCAGUAGCCGGCCUGAGAGGGCGGACGGCCACACUGGGACUGAGACAGGCCCAGACUCCUACGGGAGCAGCAGUGGGGAAUUGUUCGCAAUGGCGCAAGCCUGACGACGCAACGCCG
rnacentral:rRNA from 1 species